CAACGGACCCUUCUAUGCUGCGUGUCUCAACAAGGGUAAAAUCUCUACUGGCACGAAGAUCUUCUACAGCAGCCUGGCACAAGGGAAAAAAUAAUGGCAACUUGCAUAAAAGGGAGUUGCUAUUGUCAGUUUUGUCAGGUGAAUCGACCAUCUUUGAUGCUGUCAGUCAAGUCCUCUACUUACCUCCAAGCUAGCAUCCUAUCUUUCUGCUUGGUGUAUCGACCAUCCUUGAUGCUGUCAGCCAAGUCAUCUGCCCUCUUACGCUCAAGCAAAACUGGAAGUGUAUACUCACAGCCAUUAGCUCUCCAAAGCCACUGGUAAUCCCCACAGAGGAGGGAACGGGACUUGUGCUGUACGCCCCAAUCAUUUAGUCGUCUACUUAACUGUGUGACAAGAAAGCUAGCACUAAUUAGAAAAGGCUUCCGAAAAUUAAAUUUGUCAAAUCUUAGGUGGGCAAUUAUUAAAACUGCGUCACUCAUUCAAUUGUAACAAAGCUGUAUUUAAAUACGGUUUAAGAGUCAUUAGCAAGGAAACCUGUUUAAGUUUUAUCAUUAAGGACCAAUCAAGAUAAACAAAGUCCUAAAUAUACUAUCAAAAUAUCCUAGAAAAUGUAACUUGGUAGAUCUCAAACAGUAAAUAUAUAUCCAAAAGGAUUUUAAUAUUGUAUUAUAUUGAAUUAAAUAUACAUACAAAAGGA